GAGAAAGCUUCUUGUUCUUCAAGGAUUUGGCUGAGCUGAGACUAAGGCAACGAGCUUGCACCACGGCAGCACAGUAGACACACUUCACUGCAUUUUACUCAUGUCAUUUGGGGGCUAUUUCUUCGUCAAUCUGAGUCGGGCCUGCAUUACACAGACCGUGGUUAUGCUUGAAGAAACGGCCUCAAACAGCGGAUUCUGUCACUGAGAGCCUCAGAUUCCUCUGCCGGAAACCGAUGAGGAGUAUAUUGCCUCUCUUGAACGCGCAGGAUGGAGGACAUUUACCAUGGCAACCACUAAUGCAGUAUAGAUGCAAGGACUGAGCCUUGUCUGCCACUGCAAUAAUACAAGAUUCAUUGAAGCCAGGGUGAAAUGUCAUCGGGGCUGUCGUUUUAAAUUACCCAGAAUUGCAUUUGAUGUCUGCACUUUUGUCAAUGGAAAAUCUCACUUGCAAUAGAUAGAAGGGUAUUUUACCCUGUAUUUGCUAAAUUUUACAACAUACCCUGCCUAGUGCCUUUGUAUACAAUAGAGUGUAAUGUAUCAUGCACUAAAGAACCACUUCAUCUCUCUUGUUUUUCAAUUCAGCAGUAUUGUCGGUCAUAUUGUUUCCCACACCACCCAUCCACAUAAUCCGUCCUUUGGCAGAGUCAAAUCCGAUUUUUACACUGUUCCCCCUGCACACUUCUAAAAUGUGAUUUUGGUAUCAUCCUCCUUCACACGCUGGAUUACAACUGUACCUCUUUCAAAAGUAGCACCUAAGUGAUAGGCACUCACCUUGGAAGGAAGCCAAGUUUAGACUGUUUUUUACUGUUCAACAUUCAGGUUCUGAUUACAAACCCUGUUUCCAUAUGAGUUGGGAAAUUGUGUUAGAUGCAGUGUUGGGACUAAUGCGUUACUAAGUAACGCGUUACUGUAACGCUGUUAGUUUCGGCGGUAACUAGUAAUCUAACGCGUUAUUUUUUUAUAUACAGUAACUCAGUUACCGUUACUGCAUGAUGCGUUACUGCGUUAUUUUACGUUAUUUUUAUGUAGUAUCGGCUAGAAACUGAAGAUCUGA